rfam:Oryza meridionalis cultivar OR44 (W2112) chromosome 6, whole genome shotgun sequence.
AUCCAUCCUAGUACUUACUUUCGUGUUUAACUUUAAUCGUCUGUCUUAUUUAAAAAAAAAUAAGUUACGCAUAAAAUACUAUUCACGUUUUGUCAUCUAAUAACAAUAAAAAUAUUAAUCAUAAAUAUUUUCAAAUAAGACGGAUGAUCAAAAUUAGACAUGUAAACUUAUGACUGCUUUUAAA